rnacentral:rRNA from 1 species
CCUACGGGUGGCAGCAGUAGGGAAUUUUCGGCAAUGGGGGGAACCCUGACCGAGCAACGCCGCGUGAACGAAGAAGUUCUUCGUAAUUUAAAGUUCUUUUAACCGGGAAGAAAGAGAAAUUUUGCGGUACCUGAAGAAUAAGCUCCGGCUAACUACGUGACAGCAGCCGCGGUAAUACGUAGGGAGCGAGCGGUAUCCGGACUUGUUGGGCGAAAAGGGGGCGUAGAUGGAGUAGUAAGUCUUUUGAAAAAAUGCUGGGCUAAACCCAGUAGGGAAAAAGAUACUGCAAAGUUAGGGUAUGACGGAGGAAAGUGGAACUACAUGUGUGGCGGUAAAAUGCGUAAAUAUAUGUAAGAACACCAGUGGCGAAGGCGGCUUGCUGGGUCGAUACUGACAUUGAGGCACGAAAGCGUGGGGAGCAACCAGGAUUAGAUACCCCAGUAGC